AUACAUAAGAACCUAGGAAACUUAUGCAUUCUCUGGAAAAUGGAAGAAACAGUAAUGGUUUGUAUUAUGCUAGUCAUUGGGAUUGUAGAUAUGGUACAAAGACAGAGGUAAACAUUAUCUUUGCCCAACAUGCUUCACUACUGUUGAGAAGCUACUUUGCAUUUUACAUUUUUGAUCUUUCUGGUUUAUAUUCUGUUUGCCUUCCUCUGUCUUACCAUUAUCUCUUACCACUUAUUCAGAGUUCCUCCUUUGUUUUAUCUUUUGUUCGCACUCUUUUUCUCCUUUUCCACUGCCAGACUUCCUUUACAUCUUUUCCUCUUUUCUCUUCUCCCUUUGGCAGUAGUUUAAAUACAGCUGUUACAACUAGUCCAGAAUCAGUCCUACAGAAUAGCUUCUUCUAAAGUGUAGUCUUAGUGAGAAAAAUAACUGGUUAGAGUAACAUAUUUGUGUGCCAUAUUUAUACUACUGAUCAGAUAUAUAACAAAACACAAUUUUUCAUCUAAUUCUGCCAAAAAUCUGAAAUUGCACAGAGUUCCUUUUCCCCUUGUCUUACCACCUGCAGUAACAAAUACUUUGCAGUCAGAAUUUAGCAAACAAAAGUGAUGCUGGUUAUGCAUAAGGUGCAGCAAAAUCAAGCCCAGUUUUCCAGUGCUGAAACUCCUCUGUAGUGCCCACAGCAGUAGAAACUUGCCUUAAGAGAAUAAGCCAGAGAGAUAGGAAUCAUAGGCCUAAAAACAUCAGCUAUACUGAGCUAGGAAGCAUUGUUUUUAGAGCCAAGACCCAAUUCAGAAACUCACUGUUACUUAAAAUUCUGGUGUGAAUAUGUGUAAUCAAACCCUAACUUCCGAAGAGCAGAAUUUUGUAUUUGUGGUGAUUUGCUUUUGUUUUUAUUGCAGCACUCAACUAUCCCAGUCUGGACUAGGAGCUCAUUGUCUUGCUGUUGUGUAAAUAUGUGGUAAGAUGCAGACCUUCUCCCAGAAUCAGGAGUCCUAAAAGAUUAAAGAAAAUGACAGACAAGGGAUAGUGGACACAAUCAUCAUUCUCUGCUUUAAAACUUGGCUACCAUGGAGACAGAAUCAACUCUCGCCUUGGGAAAGGAGGAGAUUUGUGACUUGGGACCCCAAGCGAGCGGAGGCUCUCGGUCACAGCUGUGCUGACAGUGCCUGUGUUCGAGCAUGGGCCAAAGCUUCAGGCACAGGCUGGUGCCUAGCAAAAACCGUCACCUGUCUGCUGGCUGCUCACCUCCCCUUUAUGAGGCCAAUGGACCACAGGCGCCAAGCACAAAGGGUGAAGAGGACCCACCCACCACCAGACGGGAGCCCCCACCGCCGAGACUCCCAAAGGAAGAGGACCAACGGGACACCGCUGGAUCCACGGCGUCCAGCUCCCUGCAAAGUACCAGUGCGCAGAAUAAAGGGGAGCUCCAGGGGAACUUCAAAAGCUAUCUGCAAAGGAGAAGGAAGACACUGAAGAAUUCACUCAAGUCGAACUCUGUGCCCCAAAUGACUUGCUGGGUGGAAAUGUUUGUAGGUGUGGGGCAAAAGGAAGACAGUAUUCCCUGCAGCUACACUUCCCAGUGCAGCCUAAGCCUUGUGUAGCAUGGUGAAGGAGUGAUAUUAUGCAGGUUCCUCUAAACCCCAUCACAGCUGUGCUCAGCUGGGAUUUGUAAUAUAUCUGCAUUUAUGCUCAGGUACCAGAGGUGGAAGUGUUCACGUGUGUGGAGGUGAGUGCAGUGCCAAAACCUAGAAGGACUUGUUCUAUGGCGUGUAUUGGGACUCUACCAAGCCAUGACUGCAUUUUCAAUUUGUCUUAAAAAGCUGGGCAUUGCCUCGUGGUUUGCUAUUAAUGGUAAACAAAAUAAUUCCCAGAAUUAAUAAGUUUCUUAUAAUUUGAUGCAGGGUCACAUAGCAAGUAAUUCUUUGGACUAAAAUAACCUGGAUACAAUGAAAUGUUCUAUUUAUUACAAUGGGGCCACAUAUGCAUUCAGAGGUUGUUCAAUUCUUAUUCUAAGAGAGCACAGAGGCUGGCCAGAGAAUAACUGUCCUCUCAAGCCAGAGUAAAUCCAGACUUUGACAGUCAGCACAUUUUAGAUUUUAAACAUUCCAUUAUAAAUCUUCCAAACCCAAACAAGGCUGGGAAAUCACAUAACAAAAAAUGAACUUUUAAUGCACAUUAUGUAUUUUCUUCAGAGAAAGGAGAUCUCAUAAAAUAAUGCCAAUAGUUGAAUGGUAUUGGCUUUUGGCUAAACAUGUGCCCUUUUAUGGGUGGAUGCAACUACCAUUAUGUCUUCUUCUGUCCAUUUACUUUUCAGAACAAAAUAAUAGCAAAGCACAGCGCAGAUGGCCCAACAUCCUCCAAUGCACUUAAUCCUAGGCAAAAAUCCAGGAGGCCAUUUAGAAAACGACAGGAAAGUUUUGUUCACAUUGUAGAGUCUUGGAGGAGUGCAAAUAGUGCUGUACUUUAAUUUUUUUUAAAAUAGAGAAAUUGAUUUAAAAAGAAAUAUCAUUGAAUUUGGAGAAGGUUCAGUACUAUAUUAAAAUCAGCAUUAGAAACCAGGCAUUAGCUUUGGGGAACAAAUUAUCUGACUGUCCUUUAAACUACCUCUGUAAGCAAGGACAGGUAUAGGAGAGACACAGCAUCUAUCCAAACAAGAUUGUUUUUCUUGUCUGUUGAGCAAUGAGUUUUGUAGCAUGGGGAAAAUGAAUCAGCUUUUGGCAUUUACGUGUUACAGCUAUACUAGCAAAACAGUAACAAUAAUGCAGCCAUCAAUAUUUACAAAAUUAGGUAACAAUGAAAAAGGAGACUCUCCUGUCAGGAUUCUCACCAAACUCCUGAAAAUGCCAUUGCAUCUUAGAAAAAUAAUCAUCACUUGCAACUGAUACCUAGCCGUUUACCUAACAAAUGGGGCCCAGCAGGGCAGUGGUAUGGGGAUGCUGGGACGCAUCCCCAUGCGACGCUCGGAGAGGACUAGUGAGGAUACAGGAAUGACGACUAGCGCUGCAGUCAGCAGAGAUAACCACUGCCAAUUCCCUGUGUGUAAAACAAACAGAAAACUCAUCCUGUUCCUCUUGCCUCUCAGCAGUCGCUUCCUAUUUUUAAACUGGGUUUUGUUGCUGACUACAAAAGAAUGCAGUAAUAAACUGAAAUGACAAAAUUCCUCAUGCAAUGAGUAUGUGCCAGCUUUCUAAAGCUGCUUAGGUACCUAAUUCCUUCUGAAAUGUUGUUGUUCUCAUGGUUUAAGUCUUUUCUCUGGCAAACCCAGAUAGCCACCUGUGGGAUUAUGAAUCUCAAGCUUUUCUGAGGAACCGCAUGGGGUAUCACAAGAGAGGGCUGGCGUAGGUUGGCCAGGCCUUGUCACUCGCUUGGGAGCAGGCCGAUGAGGUGGACACAGCAGGCAUCCCUGCCACCUUGCCUCUUGCUCUGCUGCAGCCUCAGCCUGUCCCGCACUGAGCAGCUGCAGGGCACAAGGUGUCGAGGGGACUCUGCGCCAGGACACGUGUGUCGUGCCAGACAUUGGUUUCCCAUGUGUCCGCCAGCGAGCAGCUCCCGCUUGCUACGUGUGACAAAGGAAUUGCAGCAACGCUCUGUUUUCGCUGACAGUGAGGUUGUCACCUGUACGCUCAUGGCACAGGGUUGAAAAAAACCACCCUUUCUUCACAUGUAACCGGUUAUCUUAACCUCAGUGGCUGCUAUCAUGAGGCCUAGCCAUUUAUUUGCUCUUUGUGUACAGUUUGUUUUGGUGAUCUCCUAGGCCUCAUGAUAUAACACCAUGCCAUAUAAAAUGUAAGCACAAUAGUGCAGCUGUAGCUAUAAAUCAGGGAAUUUAGCAAAAGAUCAGCUUUCUGUUACAUCGCACUUCUCCUGAAAUCCAUUCUGUGUUGAGUAAGCCUUUUGCUUGGAAGACUGCUCCUGCCCUUGAUGGAAGGUAUGCUUUUUGUUUAGCCAGCUAUUCCCAUUUACUUAAAUCUCAUACAGUCCUAUUUAUGUCCCCUCGUCCAGGCAAGGUUCAGGAGGGAAUAGCAAUCUCUUUCCCUUGGGUCAGUCUUGUUUGCUCAGCCGUGUCUCUGGGUGGUAUUCCCUCUGCUAAUUCAGACUGAAGUCACCUCCUGAACUGACAAAGUUGGCCAGUUGACUGCCCUGCCCAGACUGCUGUCAUUGCUCAUUCCUCUUGCAAGAAAAAUGUUUUUUUUUUUUUCUUUUCAGAUUUGGCCAACCAAUAAGUAAAAACUUGUCUCCCAAGCAGAGGUGAGGUCAUACAGAUACUGAGCAGAGCUGGGAGUCUGAAUGAGCCAGUUAUGUCAGCCAGUUAAUAACUUUACUGUUGUCAUUUAUUUGUCAUUCAUCCAGAAGAAUCCAAAAGUGCUUUACAUUCUUUAGAACCAGAUUAGGAACUCUUCUUGCUAACAGGAGGCUGCAUACACCACUGAGAGUGUCACCUCAUGGGAGGAGCGCAGAGCCGUUCACUAGUGCCCUGCCACACCGCACCGUGGGGGACAGGAGGCAAAGACUGUGUUAGCCAACUGAAGCAGCAAGGGCGUUUGGUGCCAUAGCCCAGUGACUAGCCAACUGGCUACUUGGAAUUUGGCGUGGAGCCCAGGGCUAACCCUUCCAAUCUGUGCUAGGUACUAUGAAAAUGGACCAUCACGUCAGGGCCCCCUCUUCUGCAGGACAGAGCCCUCCGAUGCUGAGCAAGAUCUGUAAAGAUUUGCUCUAGGACAAGCUGCUGAGGUGCCUCAAUAACUUAAGCACAUGUCAAAAGUUAGGCAUGUACUUAAGGACUUAAGGACUUUGCUGUCUCUCAGUGAGAUUAUGGAAAUUAUUAUAUGGAAAUUCAAUACCAUUUUGGGUGGGGGUCAGAAGGUUUUACUUUCUUCUCUUGUUAAAUAUGGAAAAUAACACUGGCUGGGCUACCUCAGAAACAUUUUGUAUGGAUUAAUUAAUUCAGCUUUGCAUGAUGCUUUGAGAAAGCUUCGAUAAAAAAUAGUUCAUGCCA